CAAUUCCAACAUAUAAGAAGUUCCUACGGAAGCACUGGUGUGGUAGUAUCAGUGCUCUCUUUUGAGCACAGGCCUGUAAUCAGCCUUGAUGUUUUUCACUUGAAGACAUUUUGAACUUUUUCUUAUAGGGUUUCUCUGCUGGGCUGUUUGCAUUCUACCAUGAUAAAGAUGGAAAUCCUCUCACUUCAAGAUUUGCAGAUGGCCUCCCACCUUUUAAUUAUAGUCUGGGAUUAUAUCAAUGGAGUGAUAAAGUAGUUCGAAAAGUGGAGAGAUUAUGGGAUGUUCGAGAUAAUAAGAUAGUUCGUCACACUGUGUAUCUCCUGGUAACGCCUCGUGUUGUUGAGGAAGCACGAAAACAUUUUGAUUGUCCAGUUCUAGAGGGAAUGGAACUUGAAAAUCAAGGUGGUAUGGGCACUGAGCUCAACCAUUGGGAAAAAAGGUUAUUAGAGGUCAGUUUGUUUUUAAAUUUUCCUAGGCUUUAAUGAAAAUAAUUCAUAAUUAUGGUAAAAGUUAUUCAAGCAGGUUAUAAACUGAAAAAUAUUUAUGUCCCUUUACCCCUUCAGCUCUCCAGAUGCACUUUCCAGAUACAAUCACUCCUUAUGUUUUUUGUAUAUACUUUCAUAAAUGUUACAUAUGUAUGUGUGCAAACACAUGCAGAAUUGUCUAUUUUUUCAUGGGUUCACAUAUUUAUGCAACUUUUU
rnacentral:sRNA from 1 species